CCAACAGGGAUUGCCCCAGUAACGGCGAGUGAAGCGGCAACAGCUCAAAUUUGAAAUCUGGCCCCUAGGGCCCGAGUUGUAAUUUGCAGAGGAUGCUUUUGGCGAGGUGCCUUCCGAGUUCCCUGGAACGGGACGCCAUAGAGGGUGAGAGCCCCGUCUGGUUGGAUACCGAGCCUCUGUAAAGCUCCUUCGACGAGUCGAGUAGUUUGGGAAUGCUGCUCUAAAUGGGAGGUAUAUGUCUUCUAAAGCUAAAUAUUGGCCAGAGACCGAUAGCGCACAAGUAGAGUGAUCGAAAGAUGAAAAGCACUUUGAAAAGAGGGUUAAACAGUACGUGAAAUUGUUGAAAGGGAAGCGUUUAUGACCAGACUUGGACCCGGUGAAUCAUCCAGCGUUCUCGCUGGUGCACUUUGCCGGGCUCAGGCCAGCAUCAGUUUGUCCCGGGGGAUAAAGGCUUAGGGAAUGUGGCUCCUCCGGGAGUGUUAUAGCCCUCUGCAUAAUACCCUGGGGCGGACUGAGGUUCGCGCAUCUGCAAGGAUGCUGGCGUAAUGGUCAUCAACGACCCGUCUUGAAACACGGACCAAGGAGUCGUCUUCGUAUGCGAGUGUUCGGGUGUCAAACCCCUACGCGUAAUGAAAGUGAACGCAGGUGAGAGCUUCGGCGCAUCAUCGACCGAUCCUGAUGUUCUCGGAUGGAUUUGAGUAAGAGCAUACGGGGCCGGACCCGAAAGAAGGUGAACUAUGCCUGUAUAGGGUGAAGCCAGAGGAAACUCUGGUGGAGGCUCGCAGCGGUUCUGACGUGCAAAUCGAUCGUCAAAUAUGGGCAUGGGGGCGAAAGACUAAUCGAACCUUCUA
rnacentral:rRNA from 2 species